CCUGCCUCAUGAUCUGCCCACCUCAGCCUCCCAGAGUUCUGGGAUUAUAGGCAUGAGCCACCACGCCUGGCCAUGAGCAUUUAUUUCUAAACUUACCUCUUCUGUUGAUUCAUUUUGAUUAUUAUGAUACUUUUGAACAGCCUUCUCUACCCUCAUCCUUCAAAAAUUAGUCUGUGUGUGUAUGUUUGAAUUAUAAUUUAAUGAUGGAUACAGCGAAGUAAGUGUUAUUAUACAGAAUCACUGUAUAAGUCUAAUGAGUUAAUAGAUUCAGGUACAGAACAUAUAAGCUGGCUGGAGAAAGACCUCCAGAUAGGCUGAAGAAUUUUAACAUUGUGCUGGUUAACAUUUCAGACUGAUGGCGCAUCUGCAAUGUUGAUUAUGGCAGAGGAAAAGGCUUUGGCCAUGGGUUAUAAGCCGAAGGCAUAUUUGAGGGAUUUUAUGUAUGUGUCUCAGGAUCCAAAA